GACGAACGCUGGCGGCGUGCUUAACACAUGCAAGUCGAACGGAAAGGCCCUGCUUUUGUGGUGUUCUCGAGUGGCGAACGGGUGAGUAACACGUGAGUAACCUGCCCUUGACUUUGGGAUAACUUCAGGAAACUGGGGCUAAUACCGGAUAGGAGCUCCUGCUGCAUGGUGGGGGUUGGAAAUUUUCGGCGGUUGGGGAUGGACUCGCGGCUUAUCAGCUUGUUGGUGGGGUAGUGGCUUACCAAGGCUUUGACGGGUAGCCGGCCUGAGAGGGUGACCGGCCACAUUGGGACUGAGAUACGGACCAGACUGCUACGGGAGGCAGCAGUGGGGAAUAUUGCACAAUGGGCGGAAGCCUGAUGCAGCAACGCCGCGUGCGGGAUGACGGCCUUCGGGUUGUAAACCGCUGUCGCCUGUGACGAAGCGUGAGUGACGGUAAUGGGUAAAGAAGCACCGGCUAACUACGUG
rnacentral:rRNA from 1 species